ACGGGUGAGUAACGCGUGGGAAUCUACCGUACCCUACGGAAUAGCUCUGGGAAACUGGAAGUAAUACCGUAUACGCCCUAACGGGGAAAGAUUUAUCGGGGUAUGAUGAGCCCGCGUUGGAUUAGCUAGUUGGUGGGGUAAAGGCCUACCAAGGCGACGAUCCAUAGCUGGUCUGAGAGGAUGAUCAGCCACAUUGGGACUGAGACACGGCCCAAACUCCUACGGGAGGCAGCAGUGGGGAAUAUUGGACAAUGGGGGCAACCCUGAUCCAGCCAUGCCGCGUGAGUGAUGAAGGUCUUAGGAUUGUAAAGCUCUUUCAACGGUGAAGAUAAUGACGGUAACCGUAGAAGAAGCCCCGGCUAACUUCGUGCCAGCAGCCGCGGUAAUACGAAGGGGGCUAGCGUUGUUCGGAAUUACUGGGCGUAAAGCGCACGUAGGCGGGUAUUUAAGUCAGGGGUGAAAUCCCGCAGCUCAACUGCGGAACUGCCUUUGAUACUGGGUAUCUUGAGUAUGGAAGAGGUAAGUGGAAUUGCGAGU
rnacentral:rRNA from 1 species